AGAGUUUGAUCCUGGCUCAGGACGAACGCUGGCGGCGUGCUUAAUACAUGCAAGUCGAGCGGAAAGGCCCUUCGGGGUACUCGAGCGGCGAACGGGUGAGUAACACGUGAGCAACCUGCCCUUAGCUCUGGGAUAGCUCCGGGAAACCGGAAUUAAUACCGGAUAAGACCACUCCAGACAUCUUCUGUGGUGUAAAGAAU
rnacentral:rRNA from 1 species